GGGUGAGUAACACGUGGAUAACCUACCUAUAAGACUGGGAUAACUUCGGGAAACCGGAGCUAAUACCGGAUAAUAUUUUAAACCGCAUGGUUCAAAAGUGAAAGACGGUCUUGCUGUCACUUAUAGAUGGAUCUGCGCUGCAUUAGCUAGUUGGUAAGGUAACGGCUUACCAAGGCAACGAUGCAUAGCCGACCUGAGAGGGUGAUCGGCCACACUGGAACUGAGACACGGUCCAG
rnacentral:rRNA from 1 species